GGGAAGCACAGAGCGCAGUGCUGCAGGCGUGAGGCUGUGGAUGGGUGUAUUUACGGCCCCCGGCCGCCCAUCCGUCUGCGGGAGGCUUAUAAAGAACCCCCGGCAAUCACCUACAAGCAGCACUGCUUGUUGGUGGGUAUUAACGGCGACCUCGAGAUUUACAUCCCGCUGCCUGCACAGAGAAAGGGGGGGGGGAUGAGCAGGGAGAGGGCACCCAUCCGUCUGUCCGUCCGGCCGGCUGGAAAUCACAGCCCUGGGGCGGAGAUGGUGGAGGUGGGGUCCCCUCUGAGCCCACCUCUGGGGGUGGGGAGGGGGCUCAGCCCCUCGCGGGGGUCUCAGCUCUGUGGGGGGGACACAUCAGCACGGCGUGGAAGUGGGGAACGUCACCAGAGAUGGGUGAUGGAGGGAUGGACAGCGGGGACAGACGGACAGCAAAGCGGCUGUGGAAGCAAUCCCUGAGCCCAAAGCAGCGCCCUCCAGCAAUGGGGUAUGGGGUAAUCGUUCCAUCCCCACAUCCCCAUGCAAUGGGAGCACAGCACUAUGGGGUCCCCACAUACACAUGCAAUGGGAGCACAGCACCGUGGGGUCCCAAUGCAAAAGGAACUCAUCACCAUGGGGUCCCAAUGCAAUGGGAGCACAGCACUGUGGGGUCCCAAUGCAAUGGGAGCACAGCACCGUGGGGUCCCCACACCCCCAUGCAAAUGGGAGCGCAGCACUGUGGGGUCCCAAUGCAAAAGGAGCUCAGCACCGUGGGGUCCCCACACCCCCACGCAAUGAGAGCUCAGUGCCCACAGCCUCACACCCAAGAAUAAGAUUGGGGAUGCGCGUGGUGCCGAGCAAGGAGAGCAACGCUGGAGCUGCACGGAUCGCCGCUUCGGGGCCGGAGAAUGAAAGCAAAUUGCAAAGCAGCAUUAAAGAACCACCCUGCAGCCUUCUCCUCCAUGCCCAGGAGCUGAGAGCCUCCUGUCCUAUUAAUAUCAGCCAGCUCAGGAAGAGGAGAGGGAACAUCUUUAUCUCUUCCAUCCGCUGAUACCUCGUCCUCUCUCUCUUUUAUGGCUGCAAUUCCCCCUUUGUUCAGCCCCACGUGCUGCGCGGCAGGGAGAGCUGCUGGAGCAUCUCGAAAUAUAAUUAGAAAGCUAAAUAUGACACCGCUGUUCCACUCGGAGACCCAACCCCAUAAAACACCCAGGCUGUGAUGUGGAAAACGGUGCCAUCCGUGCAUCCGCCGCCGCCCCGACGGCUGAGCUCCGUGAUUGCUUAAAGAUUACCCACCAGUUUUCAAUUACCUCCCAUUAAUGUAUUUACCCGGCGUAUCUUUUAUCAAGCUGCAAGUUGUUGUGUUGGUAUGAUAUUAUUUUUUCUUUGCAGGGAGAUGGGUUGGCUUCCCCUAAACGGCCCAUAUUUCAGCAUUAGAGCCGCUCGCUAUCAGCGUGGGCUGAGUGAUGCUUUGCUGCUCCAUCUCCCGGUGUUUAAUUCUGCUGGAGCUUCGGCUGCUCCUUAGGGGUGGUCACCGAGGUGUGCUGUGAAGGCCAGGGGGGCUCAGGGGGUGGCUUCCAAUGGAGCUGAGGCAGCGGAGUGGGGUCCCCUCUUCAUCCUCCCCAUCCGCUUCCCUGCCUCAGUUUCCCCUUCGGAUCACAGCUGUGCCUCAGUUUCCCCUCAGGUUCCUCCCUGCACACAAACCACAGCCUUCCCCCACCUCACAUCUUCCUGCGGAGACCCCAACGCUUCCCCCAGCGCCCACCCAGCCCUCAAAUCCCCCCUGGCUCAGAGCGGAGGAUCCCGAGGUGGGAUUUUCCAUCACCCCCCACCCCGAGGCUCCGUGCUGAGUCCCUGCAGACGCUUUUGGGGCCAUUCACCCCAGAAUGAGGCUGAGGACCACAUGUGGUUGGCAACGACACGUGGAGCCGCGGGGGAAUGAGCUGCUGAGAGCCACGAUGGUUCUGGCAUGGAUUCAUCCCAAAAGAAUCCGAGCGGAGCGUGGAGCUGGGCCGGGGUUGGGGGUUGUUUCCAUUUCUGAGCCAUUUUGCACCGCGUUGUGGUGUCAGUUUUGGGGUGAUUAUCAAAUAUAGAGGAGAAGGAGCGAGUCGGAGGCAGAACCAGGCAGCUCCACUCCUCUGCGCCCACCCUAGCAGCACUGAGGACAUCCCCUCCAUUUGCUUUCCUUUUCUGGGGGGACGUUUACUCAUAAACUGGAGAGAUUUUCCCUGUUUUCUCCCCCUUUUUAAACAAAUCAUUAUUAUUUUCAUUAUUAUUUUCAGAGCUUAAAUGGCUCAAUGCUCAGCCACUGGAGAACGGUGGCCGUUGGGCAGAGCCAUGUCCACAGUGCACGGCCUCCAUUGGGUGCAGUGAGACGCCAAGCCUUGUUUUAGUGGGCACGGUGGGGGGGUUGGGGUUGGGUUGUUGGUGUUGGAGCUCUUUUCCAAGCUUAAGACUCCAUGAUUCUAUGAGUGAGCAUGGUGGGAACGGGUUGGGGUUGGACUGUUGGUCUUGGAGGUCUUUUCCAACCUUAAUGGCUCCUUGAUUUGAUGAGUGAGCAUGGUGGGAAUGGGUUGGGUUUGGACUCAAUGGUCUCAGAGGUCAUUUCCAACCUUAAUGACUCCAUGAUUCGAUGAGUGAUCAUGGUGGGAAUGGGUUGGGGUUGUAAUGUUGGUCUUGGAGGUCUUUUCCAACCUCAUUGGGUUUCAGAAGAAGAAUGGAUCUGUCGGAUUUCAGCCUCCCUGACCCCCAUCCCCCCCUUCUAUAUAAAAAAAACCAAAUGCUGUCCCCAUAACUGCAAUCAGAGCGCUCUGCAGAGCUCCGGACACAAUUGCUGUGGUUGUUAUUAUCUUUAUUUAAGGCCCACGGAGGCCCUGAGGGAAUAUCACCAUCCUGGUGCCAUAAGAUCUAGAAACGGUGCCGCUGUUUACUGUGCCGUCGCGUUGGCUCCUCAGCCCUUCGAAGCCGUAACCUUCCUUUUUAUGGCAACAAUUAUGCUAACGAUAACAUCAUUAAACCGCAUGGGAAUGACCCUUAAAUCAAAAGGGGAAGCUUCCCCUUCCUGAGAACGGUGGCCCAUUGGAGACCUCGGGUGGAAGGAAUCACCGCCCCCCAACCACAGCGAGUUCGGUGGAUAUAUCUCUCUAUAUAUUUUAAGAAGAUUAUUUAUGGUUUAUUUUAGACGCCGGAUCAUUUGGCUCUUGUUUCAUCAAUUUGUCACUGUUUUUAUUGUCACCAAUUGCCCAUAACUGGAGUGCGUUUAAAAUGUCAUUGAUCUUGAUAUUAUGGUGUCAUAAUAUGACAGUAAUAGUUGUAUCUUGUACAGAAAGCCCACUUCCUAAGAUUGAUGGCUUUCACCGCACCAAUUAUAUUCUGUCCAUCUCGGUGAUAAAGAGAGCGUUGGAGGCAUUCAAUAGAUAAAUUAGAUAUCUUUUCAAUUAUUCCCUUUAUUUUAUAGGGUCACGUGCCUGAUUAACAACUUUUUACUUCUGUUAUUAAGCCGGCGGGUUCUCAAUGCUCGCUCCAUGUCUUUUAAUUCUCGUGGAUAUAAUGGAAGACGUUGAGGGCUUUGUGCUCUGUGAUCCUCUCCUAUCUUUUGUGCAGUACGAAUCUCACUCUUCCUGGCAGCCCAUGGGUGCUGCAGUCCCUUUUUUCCUCCAGGAUUCCAUAAAAGAAUCCCUUCCUUUGGCUGGAAGGCGCCCUGAACUGUGAGCUCAGCCCCAUCCGGACGUGUUUCUCACCCAGGCUUUGCUCCGUGGCGCUGUGGAUGGUUGGGGGGAGAGCUCUGAGAUGCAGAGUGUCCCAUGUCAGGGUAUUUCUGGAGCUGAAGGAGUGAAUGGAUGGGGAAGGUGGUGGCCUCGGGCAGGAUGUGGCCUCUUCUCUCUGUGUUCCAGGUUGGGGACGUCGGCACCGGUUGCUGUGACUGAGUGUCCCCAUCCCCACACGAGGAUGUCCCAGUAUAUCCCAGAGGUGCUCCUGUGGUGCAAGCCUGGAGGACCUCUGUUGGCCAAGACCGGGUUCCAUGUCCACAUGAAGAUGCCCCAUUACACCCCAGAGGUGUUCCCAUGGCAUCACGUGAGCCUGGAGGACCACUGUUGGCCAAGCCCGGCUUCCAUGUCCGUAGGAGGAUCUCCCACUGCACCCUACAGAUGUUCUUAUGGCACUGGGAGAGCCUGGAGGACCACUGUGGGCCAAAGCCAGGUUCCACGUCCACAUGAGGAUGUCCCAAAACAUCUUAGAGGCAUUCCCAUUGGGCCAUGUGAGCCUCGAGAACCCCUGUUGGCCAAGGCCAGGUUCCACGUCCACAUGAGGAUGUCCCAGCACACCCUUGAGGUGCUCCCAUGGCAUCGUGUGAGCCCUGAGGGCCACUUUUGGCUCUGAGAUGGUCGCAGCGUGGUGAGAUGGCUCUGGGCUGGUUGGGUUUUGUUGGCUUUGUGGAACCCCAAGCAUCCACUUCAGGGGGACCUCAUCUUCUACUCAGCCAAAUGACUCCGGGUGCUGCAGGGCGAUGGCAAACGCAAGGAGACAUUCAACCACGGGCUGCCCUGACCCCAUUCCUGCUCCCCACGGGGGUGGGACAAAAGAUGUGUGAUUUGUAACCCAUCAGGUCCCCAAAAAGCACUUUUCUGUCUCCCUCCGAGCUCCACACCGGAGACGCCGGGCUGCCCCUACCCCAAUUCCCUCCCACCGCAGACGUCGAUCCGCGCAGGCGAAUGGAAACACGGCGCUGGCGAGAGGCUCCCCUGCAGAGCAGUUCCUCAUCCCGACCUGCAACGCACACAAAGAGCAAUUCAGGUGGAGUUACCCCGAGGAGAUUUAUGGCGUCCAGGGAGGCGCACGCGAUCCGAUACCAAAGCAUGAAUCAAAGCAGGACAGCCGGGAUGUAUUUACAUCUGCGCCGCGCGCGCGCGCCGACGUCGCAAGGAGAACACAAAGUCAGUUGGCAAUGGAUGACUGCUGCGGGCUCUGGGGGUGGUGGGGGGCACCUCUGAGCUUCGUGGGUGUAAAAGGGAAUGGGAAGGAUGAUGGUAAUCGAUGGGGUUGCGCUGCAUGGCUUCUCAAGGCCGAGCCAAGGGAUGUAUGUGUGAGGAAAUGGCGGGGGUUUCAUGGCUGGGGGGUAUAUCUGAGAGGAAAGCCCUUGGGUUUCAUGGCUGGGGAUGUAUUUGAGAGGAAAGCCCUUGGGUUUCAUGGCUGGAGGCAUGUUUUAGAAGAAAGCCCUUGGGUUUAGCAGUGGCUGUGGAUGGUGAAGCCUCCAUGCGUCCUCACAUCGGUUGGGUUGCGUGGGCACUCCGGUCCAACUCUGUUAUCCAACAUUUCAACCCAUACAAAGCCCAGUGGUGUCACCACGUGGUGCAGCACCAACCCCACUACCUGGGGUGGUGAUUUUGGGCCCCUUCUGCCAGGAAAUGGCUCACGCCGUGUGAAAACACCCAACCCAGAGCUGUGACAUGGUGUGGACCUUUUGGUUCACCAUUGGGGCUUUCCGGAAAGACUCAUUCCAUGAUGGAUGAACUUUUAAUGGAGAGAAAUAGACAGCCCUUCUUUAAGUGCGGGGUUUAAGUGAAGCCAAUGAUUUAAACAACUUAAAGUCCAUUAAACAAAGGGAGAACUUGGAUCUCAUCAACUCAUUCAUUCUGAGAAGCGCCCGGCCUGGGAUAAACCUGACACUGAGGAGUCAUCAGAGCAUUGCUAAAACAUACGCUUGCCUUCGUAAUGAAAUGUUUUUAAGGGACCAUAAUGGUUACCGUGAGGGCGGUUUGCGUUAGAACCAUUUGAAUUCCCUCAGCUGAGAUCCUUCAAUAGGUGCCCAUCCACUAAUGGAAAGGAGACAUUUCGGAGACGUGAAGGAGUUGGAGACAUUUCGGCCCUAUUUGGAAGAGGUGGGGGCACAGGGAGCGGUGCCAGCCCCUUCCCCAUCUCCACACCCCCACAUUUUCCCCUCCUUUCGUCCCAGGUGGAAAUGGAUGGAAGCCAAACGUGCCAUAAGACGAAGUGUGCUGAUGGGAAGCGGAGCCCAUCGCCUCCAUCACUGACAAACAGGGAGAGGUGGGGUUGGUGGUCGCUGGUUUUCCACUCGCAGUGGUCCAUCAGGGUUACGGAUGCUCUGUGGGUAACAGAAAAUGGUCAUAAUUCCCCCCCAGGUUCAGUGCUUUGGGGUUUCUCAGCAUGUUACCAGCGGGCACCAAUCGGGGUGGGGAGGACGAGAGCCUCAUUUCUCCCCAAGCAGAUAAAAUUUCUCCUCUUCCCAUCCACACAAACCCCAGCCAUAAAUCCUCAGGCUCGAGCAAAUGCAGGGCAGAAGUUUAAAGCAAACCUUACGAUUUUAAUGCCCGGGCUCAACGAAGCAUGGAAACAUUUGCUCAGCAUUAAGUGUGUGCUUAGCACCCCGCAGGAGCCCAGAGCUGCACACAGCAGUGCAGGAACUCCCUUCUUCCUCCCCAAUUCAUCCCCUGUAGGAGCAGAGCGCGGAGGCAGCGAGCCAAGCGUCCGGCCAACGCUGCAGCAAGAUUUAUGGGAGGGGAAGGGACCCGCUUUCUUCCCUGUGAUUAAUAAGGAGAAGACAAGAAACCUCCUCAGAGCCCCAAUGGAGGCAUUUCCCUGGUUUGAUGGGGUCAACGAGAGCCGAAUUCCAGCCGAUGUAGAUAUAAUUUCAUCGGGGGGUUGGAGGGUCCCUUCCAUCCCUCCCACUGCUGCAAGAAGAGAACUGGAAGCGUCUCCUCCCUCCGUGCUGCUCCAGGGCUCGGUGACCCUGCAGCGAUGUUCGGUCCUGGCAGCGGCGUGGCGACGUUCCUGGGAGGAAAACAGAGGAAAUGGGGGUCUGGUGAGGAGGAGCCCCAGUGGGAAUGGUGGGGAGGGAGGAACUGUGCUGCGCAGCCCGUGCUUUGUGCAUGACGGCACUGCGGGCAGGGAUUGCAGUGGGGUCAGGUUCCCAGCACGGGCUGCUUCCCAGGGCCUCGCUCUGCAUGGGGAGACGGAGGGGAACGCUGAAUGCAUUCCUACAAACGCCUCCAAACUCCUCUCCCAUCCUGGCCAGCUCUGCAAAACCCCACCCUGGGAUGCAAGGAUCCAAAAGCCAUCGGGAUGUCGCAUUUACCGACGCCAUUCAUCUACACCCAUCCCCAGGACGGGCUGCAGGAGCCGCGCUGGUGGUCCCAGCCAUUAGCAGAGCCCUGAGGAUGAGUUCCCAGCCCUCUCCCCCAGCCCUGUCCUUGCACAUCAUCCGCCCUCACAUCACUGCUGGAUGUGGCACCGGAGCCCUCGGCGCGGCCACAACUCAGGUUGGCAGCUGAGCAUCCUGGAGCGGCCGAGCGCGGCCGGGAGCCGUAAUUCUUACCCUGCAUUCCCUGCCAGCUCUGCUCCCCGGUGGCACAUAGAUCACCCAGAGGUGUGGAUGGAGAGCAGGCGAUGUAAAUCACAUUAAACUCCACGCGUGGAGCUGCUCGUUCCGAACGCAGCCAGCCUUAAUUCGGUUUAGCUUUGCGAAUUAAGCUCAAGUGAAUUAAACCAACUCUAAUUCUGGCUAAGUGUCCAGAAUGGGGUUUUAUGUGCUCUGGCUAAUCCAUUUUAAAGGUUGAUUUGGGUUAACGUUGAUGGAUGUCCCUUUGUGGGUACCUCUCGGUGCCGCCAGGCUCGCCUGGCCAGGAUUUAUGGCACGGCAGCAACCAGAGCCAUCCACCCCAUGACCUGCGCCAGCACCACGAGCUCCCUCAUUUCCCAGGGAAUGCUACAGAUGAGCUUCAACUGCUUUCCCAAAGGGCAGCGUCUGUUCAUUUUUCUAGCAAACCAGUGUUGGGUUGAGUCCCAUGUUCCAUUCCAGUAUUGAAGGCAGCAUCCAUCCGAUCUUGCCAACCAAUACGCAUCGGGUUGAGUCAAACUGUUCCAUUGCGUUGUCGAAGGGCAGCAUCCAUCUGACCUUGCCAACCAGCUGGCAUUGGGUUGAGUCCCACUUUCCACUCCAGUAUCAAAGGGCAGAACCCAUCUGGUCUUGCCAGCCAAUCAGCAUUGGGUUGAGUCCCACUUUCCAUUCCAGUAUAGAAGGACGACGUCCUUCUGGCUUUGCCAACCAAUUGGGUUGAGUCAAACUGCUCCAUUCCACCGUCACAGGGCAGCAGCCCUCCAGCUCUGCCAACAAACCACCCUUGGGUUGAGUCCAAUGAUCCAUUCCAAGAGAGGAGACACAUUUGGGGCACUGCUCUGAAGGUUCCUCUCUCCUCAGUGGGGGAUUCAUGGGGGGUUCGCAAUUAGUACCGCAGCGUAGACCCGAAGGUGCUGAUUUCUCUUCAUUGAGUGCAGAGAAUUUGGGGCACAGAGCUCCUUAUUUAGGCACGUCUCCUGAAUGACCAACGCUGUGCAGAUGGAAAGUGCACACAGCUAAUGAGUGCCAUUACGUCUCACCCCUUUGGUUCAAAAUGAGGACAGGACCAUCAUCACCUCCCAGCCUUCGCAACGCUGCUCGUGUAAAGGGGGGUCGAGAGGAGGGCCCAAUGCAUCCCACACCAAGAGCAUCGCCCACGUGGGAUCACGCAGCAGCCGGACCCCAAACGUCCCCUCUUCCCAAAAUCAGCCUGGAUGCGUUUCUGAGAAGAGCGCGUCCCCUUGACUUUGUCCUUACAACAUCGGCAGUGAAUCCUGCAGCCUCCACCCUCGCUCCUCUCGCAGAGCAGCCAAUUGGCAGCGGAUCAAUGCAGGAGAGAGUCAGCAGGAGGGCAGCGAGAUGAAUUAUUUCCCUCUGGGAGGCGGAGGGCAGAGCCCAGAGCUGCCCCACAGCCCGCAGGCAGGGCGCUAUAGGGCGAGCAUCGGGAUGGAGCAGCGUGGCAGGAUGUGUUCGCUGCGUCCCCCGCACCCCACGCGUGGCCGUAAGGGCGAUUAGCUCAGUUAAUUUAGCCCCGGGUUGAGGGUGGAAGACAACGUGGAGGCUCCCCGCCCAUCUGCAAAGGGCUUUGGGUCGGGAACACAUCUACAGGGGAACGCUCGUGCAGGGAAAUGUGAAUUAGCAGAGGCUUUGAGUCGAGAGUGCAUUAAUUUAAAGUGCGCUGGAAGCGCAUGCAAAAUGCAUGCAAAGUGCACUCUGCUCGGAACGAAAGCACUCCUCGGUCAAUGGGAGGUGAUUUACUGCCUCUCCCUCGGCGGUCGGGGCAGAAUCCAUCUCUCCUUCCCGCAGGUUGCUGAGCCGAACCGGGUCGGGAAGAGCAUCGCCCUCCGAGGGAGCGACUCCCCGCACAUCCCCGGCUUACGGGACGCAGCGCCGCGCUUCCCGGCUGCGGGGGGAGGACGGGCAGGGAGAGGUGCUGAGAGACGGCAGGGAUGGGAGGAGAAGGGAAAGGUGCGCUCGGAUUUAAACGCACGGCGUCCCGCGGCCCGGCGCAGCCUUCGUUUGCAGAGAGGGCCGACGGCCGUGCGGGCGCUGCAGAGCUCCGGCGGCGCUGCAAAGUAGAGGUGCGGUGUUGAAAGGAGCUGAGUGCCGCCAGUUGGGCUUAAAGCCCGAAGAGCUGAGCUUGCAGUGGGUGCCCUCCUGAAAUAGGUGGGUUGGAGAGUGCCAAAAGGCCGUCAAAAGCCCCCUGGUUUGGGGCUGCGUCGCGUCGGGUGGCACCGCUGUUCUCCGCCACGAGGGAAAUGCCCAGGGGGGUAUUUGGGCCUUUUUGGUGAUGAAAGCCAAUGGGUGUGAGCAGCAGCAGCAAAUCCCUGCUGUGAGGGAGCGGCCAAAAAGCGAGCAGAGGUGAAGCAAAGCUGCACGGCGCCGAAAGCGAACCCUGGGGAGGAAAAGGGUGGAAAAUAGUUGAGCUCUCCUCGAUUUCAGUGUGAAAUCCACUGAUCCACCGGCGGGGCUGAGCUCCCCCAUGCAGGGCUGGGGCUGUGAGCUGCCUGUCUGGGAUUGCCAGCAGAGCGAGCAAAAGCAAUUAACCUAACGAGCAGCGUGGCUCCUGUAGGAAGGAUGCAGGGCGCGGAGCUCGGGGUUUUAAAUCAAUCUCGUGGUGGUGAAGGAUGGAGAGAUGAGCGCGGCCCGGAAAGGAGAUGCUGCUUAAUGAGCCCUCGAGAUGUGCUUUUAAGCAGUGUCCUUCCAGAUGGGAUGAGAUGAGUGUUAAACCACGGGAAGGGGUCGGGGUGUUUGGGGGGGUUCCCACCAACGGGGGAUCCGUGCCAGUCCUCUCCAUUGACUCCAGAGGGAGUCGGGAUGGGCAGAGAGAAGAGGGCAGAACCAAUUGGGUCGGAUGGGACCCUCAAAGGGCACCGGGUCUGACCCCAGGGGUGGGUUUGUGCCCCAUAUAGCACCAGGUCUGACCCCAGGGGUGGGUUUGUGCCCCAUAUAGCACCAGGUCUGACCCCAGGGGUGGGUUUGUGCCCCACGCAGCACCAGAUCUGACCCCCAGGGAUGGAUUUGUGCCCCAAUGGCCUUUCCCAGGGAUGCACUGAGGUUCCCAUGUUGCCCCCCCAGAGCAUCCCCCAUUGGCACUGCUGGGUCGGGGCCUCCCACCCCCUCCCACCCCCUCCCACCGACCCCACCCUCACCAAUAGGACACCUUCACCCCCCCCAUUUGGGACUAUUCUCCCCCAAAACACGAGGUUCCCCAUCACCUCCUCUCACCAUCCUGGACCCCCAGGCGAUGAGGGGCCGCAGCUCCCACCGCCCCGAGCCCCAGAAGUCUAUUUAUUACUCACAGCAAUUAAUAAAGGGCGGGAGGCAGACGAGCAUCUCUCCUGCCUGUUGCUAAUUAGUGCUCUGCUGGCGGGAGGCGAGGAGGAGGCAGAGGCUGCAGGCAGCUCGCUCGCCCACGACGCGUAAUGAAAGCAGCACAACCCUUCGCGUUAUUUAAUCUAAUAGGAGAAUUAAUAUCUGGAUGGAGGGCGAUCGCUUCUGCUCUACAGAUGGGGGCACGCAGCGAGGAAGGGGGGGGGGGGGGGGGGACACCCAGGGAUGCGCCAUCCAUCUUGCUUUAUCCCCAAAAUGCCAUUGGAUUGCAUGGUGGUGGGUGGCUGUCGGCGGCCUUUUGGGGUCUUUUCUCCCCUUUUUGGCUCAGCACGGUGAUUGAAACCCACUCCCCACCCUUCCCACGCUGGUAAAGCCCCCCCCCCCCCCCCCCCCCCACCCCGAUCUCAACGAGGAGCACUGGAAGGGCUGCUGUCUGUCCAUGCGUGGAGUCUCCCCGGGCUGGGUGACAAAUGGCCCCUGUGACAGUAAUGGCAAAAUUAGAAGCUGCAUCGCCGUCCCCUCCGCCCGCAGCCCGCGCUGCGCUGCGCUCCUCCCCAACACGCAGUGCAAAGAAAGGUCAGCGGGCGCCUCGCAUGUUAAUGCAUGGAGAUGGGGGGGGGGGGG
ensembl:lncRNA